rnacentral:lncRNA from 1 species
CAAGAGUUGAGCUGGCCAGGGAAGAGUGAUUUAUUCUCCCACAUUUAGAAGUGGUCCCUCUACAACAAGAAUGCUUGCUAUACUAACAAACUUUGAAUUCUAACCUUGGCAAACCAGUACCUUUCUUAAGCAUUCAGUUCGGUUCUUAUGGGUCACUGACAAAAGUUAAUACGGUACGGUAUUACCCUACCAAAAUCACUUGAAAAAUUGAAAGAAACUGAUAGGUGGACGGAUAGCACAGGCUAUUAAAGCAGAGGGGCUGUGGAUGGAGGCUGUCCAGUGAAAUCAGGACCUGCAGGCCUGCUGGGCAACAGCAGCAGCUCAACCUACAACGCACAAUUCCAGGUUCUCCGGGAGAAGCACGCAGGUUUGACAAACGUCAAGCCCCUGCCGUCCGACUGGUGGCACUGACCCUGCCAAUGCAACAAAUGUCCAGUCCUCUGCACGGUGCUGAGCUCAGUGCCCUUCUCGAGCAGCUCUUCCCUGGAAAUGCAAGGAAGCCAAGGGGGUCAAAAAUCGCGUCGAGAGCACGGGCCAGGUGAUUCCAUGAGUAUAUUUCCCUGCACUGCUAACGCAGUCUUCCCAUCAGCUGAACUGGGACAAAUGGCAUCAAAAAAGCAAGGGAGGGAAGCUGAAGAAGAUAAUGGAUCAAGAGUGUUAAAUGCCAAAAAAAGAAAAAGAGAAACCUAUCAGUAG